rnacentral:rRNA from 1 species
CAGCAGUGGGGAAUCUUGCACAAUGGGCGAAAGCCUGAUGCAGCGACGCCGCGUGCGGGAUGAAGGCCUUCGGGUUGUAAACCGCUUUCAGCAGGGACGAGGCCGCAAGGUGACGGUACCUGCAGAAGAAGCCCCGGCUAACUACGUGCCAGCAGCCGCGGUAAUACGUAGGGGGCAAGCGUUAUCCGGAUUCAUUGGGCGUAAAGCGCGCGUAGGCGGUCUGUUAGGUCAGGAGUCAAAUCUGGGGGCUCAACCCCUAUCCGCUCCUGAUACCGGCAGGCUUGAGUCUGGUAUGGGAAGGUGGAAUUCCAAGUGUAGCGGUGAAAUGCGCAGAUAUUUGGAAGAACACCAGUGGCGAAGGCGGCCUUCUGGGCCAUGACUGACGCUGAGGCGCGAAAGCUAGGGGAGCGAACAGGAUUAGA